UACAGAGGUGGCAAGCGUUGUUCGGAAUUACUGGGCGUAAAGGGCGCGUAGGCGGCCUUCUAAGUCAGACGUGAAAUCCCCCGGCUUAACCUGGGAACUGCGUCUGAUACUGGAAGGCUUGAGUGCGGGAGAGGGAGUGUGGAAUUCCAGGUGUAGCGGUGAAAUGCGUAGAUAUCGGGAGGAACACCAGUGGCGAAGGCGACUACCUGGCCUGUUCUUGACGCUGAGGCGGCGAAAAGCUAGGGGAGCAAACAGGG
rnacentral:rRNA from 1 species